rnacentral:lncRNA from 1 species
AAAGACGCGUUACGUGUCGCCGCUAUUGCUGGCUGUCGCCGCUAAAGGCGUCGCCGCUAAUGCUUUCAUUUAGCGAUCCGCGUCAUUUUCACCCCAGCCGUCCGAUUUGUUUUCAAUCUAACGGUUGUUAAGGAAAGCGGAAAGGCGCGCUGAGUUUUCCCUCCGUGUGUCGCCGCUAAUGCCCUAAUGUCGCCGCUAUUGCCCUACGUCGCCGCUAAUAGCCGUCGCCGCUAAUGCUAAACGCAUAUACCCUUCACAGUUUACCUUUCUGCCAUUCACAGCUGAUACUUCUCUCUCGUUUUUUCUUCAAUAUCUCGCAGUUUUUCAACUUGGUGGACGCAUUGCUUCUUGGACCGGUGCUAGCUAGCUUCUCCUUCCCUCAAGGCAGCCACAAUACCGCCACAACCCCAACCAAGGUCGACAUUUAGCCAAAAUUCCGAAAUUGCCCCCAACCAAGGUCAAAAUUCUCAUCUUCUUUAUGAUUUUUCUGUUUUAGAUGAUAAAUAGUGAGUAUUUUUCAAGUUUGUUGAGUGAUUAUGUUUGUAUUUUGAUAUAUGAAUUGGUUAUGCAUUUUGUUGGAUUGUAUGUAUUUUGUUGGUUAUGCAUUUUGUUGGAUUGUUGAAUUAUUAUGUGUGUUUUGUUCACAUUUGUGGGAAUUUUGUUGGAUUGUAUGUAUUUUGUUGAAAUUUAUGUUUAGAUUACAUUGAAGUUAUACCACAUUGCCUUAACAUGAAACUUAGAUGUAUAUAUUUGUAUGAAAUUGGAAUAUGCAAAUUGGAUUAAAUUGGAAUAUGCAAAUUGUAUGAAAUUGAAUAUAUACAUUUGGCUUAAUUGUAUGAAAUUGGAUGAAAUUGAAAUAUGCAUUUAGCUUAAUUAGGUUAUUGAAAUAUGAAAUUGGAUGUAUACAUUUAGCUUAAUUAGGCUAUUAAUAGCAACUUACUUCUAGUAAUGUAUUGUAUAUGGUUUGAAAGUGCUUAAUUUUGUUAGUGACUUAAUGUUUGACCAACUUAAUAGCAACAUACUUUUAGUGACUUAAUGUUGGUCAUUACAACUUUAGCUUUAAUUAGGUUAUUAAUAGCAAUGUAUUUCUAGUAAUUUUAAUUUAAAUAGAAUAAAAUUAAAUUAAUUUAAAAAAACAUUAAAAAAUAAUAAAUUAAUUGUAAAAUCAACUUAAUGUUUUCCCUCCGUGUGUCGCCGCUAAUGCCCUAAUGUCGCCGCUAUUGCCCUACGUCGCCGCUAAUAGCCGUCGCCGCUAAUGCUAAACGCAUAUACCCUUCACAGUUUACCUAUCUGCCAUUCACAGCUUACACAUAACUCUUUCUCUCUCGUUUUUUCUUCAAUAUCUCGCAAUUUUUCAACUUGGUGGACGCAUUGCUUCUUGGACCGGUGCUAGCUAGCUUCUCCUUCCCUCAAGGCAGCCACAAUACCGCCACAACCCCAACCAAGGUCGACAUUUAGCCAAAAUUCCGAAAUUGCCCCCAACCAAGGUCAAAAUUCUCAUCUUCUUUAUGAUUUUUCUGUUUUAGAUGAUAAAUAGUGAGUAUUUUUCAAGUUUGUUGAGUGAUUAUGUUUGUAUUUUGAUAUAUGAAUUGGUUAUGCAUUUUGUUGGAUUGUAUGUAUUUUGUUG